UACGAAGGGGGCUAGCGUUGCUCGGAAUUACUGGGCGUAAAGGGAGCGUAGGCGGAUAGUUUAGUGAGAGGUGAAAGCCCAGGGCUCAACCUUGGAACUGCCUUUCAUACUGGCUAUCUUGAGUACGGGAGAGGUGAGUGGAACUCCGAGUGUAGAGGUGAAAUUCGUAGAUAUUCGGAAGAACACCAGUGGCGAAGGCGACUCACUGGCCCGUUACUGACGCUGAGGCUCGAAAGCGUGGGGAGCAAAC
rnacentral:rRNA from 1 species